UACGUAGGUGGCAAGCGUUGUCCGGAAUUACUGGGCGUAAAGCGCACGUAGGCGGCUUUGUAAGUUAGAGGUGAAAGCCCAGGGCUUAACCCUGGAAUUGCCUUUAAGACUGCAUCGCUAGAAUCGUGGAGAGGUGAGUGGAAUUCCGAGUGUAGAGGUGAAAUUCGUAGAUAUUCGGAAGAACACCAGUGGCGAAGGCGACUCACUGGACACGUAUUGACGCCGAGGUGCGAAAGCGUGGGGAGCAAACAGG
rnacentral:rRNA from 1 species